rnacentral:rRNA from 1 species
UUAAACUGAAGAGUUUGAUCAUGGCUCAGAUUGAACGCUGGCGGCAGGCCUAACACAUGCAAGUCGAGCGGUAACAGAUCCAGCUUGCUGGAUGCUGACGAGCGGCGGACGGGUGAGUAACGCAUAGGAAUUUACCCGGUAGUGGGGGAUAACCUGGGGAAACUCAGGCUAAUACCGCAUACGUCCUACGGGAGAAAGGGGGCUUUGGCUCCCG